rnacentral:snoRNA from 1 species
AAUUCAUGGUGCGAGUAUUUUUGAAUCAACAUUUUGAAGUGUUCCCACACAUCAUAAAAGUUUUCUCCUUCUAUCUGUCUAAAUUCAACGACCUCUCUUCUUAAUU